rnacentral:rRNA from 1 species
GAUGAACGCUGGCGGCGUGCCUAAUACAUGCAAGUCGAGCGAAUGGAUUAAGAGCUUGCUCUUAUGAAGUUAGCGGCGGACGGGUGAGUAACACGUGGGUAACCUGCCCAUAAGUCUGGGAUAACUCCGGGAAACCGGGGCUAAUACCGGAUAACAUUUUGAACCGCAUGGUUCGAAAUUGAAAGGCGGCUUCGGCUGUCACUUAUGGAUGGACCCGCGUCGCAUUAGCUAGUUGGUGAGGUAACGGCUCACCAAGGCAACGAUGCGUAGCCGACCUGGAAGGGGGAUCGGCCACACUGGGACUGGGACACGGCCCAGACUCCUACGGGAGGCAGCAGUAGGGAAUCUUCCGCAAUGGACGAAAGUCUGACGGAGCAACGCCGCGUGAGUGAUGAAGGCUUUCGGGUCGUAAAACUCUGUUGUUAGGGAAGAACAAGUGCUAGUUGAAUAAGCUGGCACCUUGACGGUACCUAACCAGAAAGCCACGGCUAACUACGUGCCAGCCGCCGCAGUAA